rnacentral:rRNA from 1 species
AAUUCGAUUAGAGUUUGAUCCUGGCUCAGAUUGAACGCUGGCGGCAUGCCUUACACAUGCAAGUCGAACGGCAGCACGGGAGCUUGCUCCUGGUGGCGAGUGGCGAACGGGUGAGUAAUACAUCGGAACGUACCCAGGAGUGGGGGAUAACGUAGCGAAAGUUACGCUAAUACCGCAUAUUCUGUGAGCAGGAAAGCGGGGGAUCGCAAGACCUCGCGCUCUUGGAGCGGCCGAUGUCGGAUUAGCUAGUUGGUGAGGUAAAAGCUCACCAAGGCGACGAUCCGUAGCAGGUCUGAGAGGAUGAUCUGCCACACUGGGACUGAGACACGGCCCAGACUCCUACGGGAGGCAGCAGUGGGGAAUUUUGGACAAUGGGGGCAACCCUGAUCCAGCCAUGCCGCGUGAGUGAAGAAGGCCUUCGGGUUGUAAAGCUCUUUCGGCGGGGAAGAAAUGGCAACGGCUAAUAUCCGUUGUUGAUGACGGUACCCGCAUAAGAAGCACCGGCUAACUACGUGCCAGCAGCCGCGGUAAUACGUAGGGUGCGAGCGUUAAUCGGAAUUACUGGGCGUAAAGCGUGCGCAGGCGGUUUCGUAAGACAGACGUGAAAUCCCCGGGCUCAACCUGGGAACUGCGUUUGUGACUGCGAGGCUAGAGUACGGCAGAGGGGGGUAGAAUUCCACGUGUAGCAGUGAAAUGCGUAGAGAUGUGGAGGAAUACCGAUGGCGAAGGCAGCCCCCUGGGU